CACUGACGACGCCGUGUAGUACACGAUACACGUCUUACAACAAGAGCGUAACAAUAUUAUAUUAUUAUCUAUACGACUUACAGAAAAAGGUAGUUAGCUGUUUUUUUUGUAUCGCUCUGUUCUUAUACAUUUUAUGUCUCAAGUUUUUACCGCGAUUUUAAUAAUCGAUAUCACGUUACAAUAUUAUUGAAUGUAGGUAAUAUCGUUUAUUCGAUAUUAACAUUAUACAUAUAGGUAUAGUUGACACUGACCUAAUAUAAAUAAACCGAGCACAUAAAGAGAGGAAUUGCAUCCCGAAAUGAUGUAUUGAAUUCGCAGUAGGUACUCCUUUUUGGAAAAGGAUGUUUAUAGUAAUAUCAUUUUUGUCCCGUGUUUAAGUGCAUCAUUUUAAAGGUGAUAAUCUUCACGCUUAAUCGGCAAUCCGUAGGCAUAAUUAUUUAAGCUUUUAAAUCAUUAUACAUUUAUCGAAUUAUACAUUUAAAAUCACCUUACCUUACACGGACUAUACAUUCCUAAUUUCUGUUUAUAAUCCGUUGGUGUUUGGAAUGAUGAUUCGAGAUCUUAAUCAAUAUUGAGAGUUCGGUUUUUAUUUCACGGAAGGAUAAGAAGAAUUAAAUGUUUUCGUCCAAAAAGGAAUAUUAACUCUAUUUCAUUCUAGUAUCAUUUUUCAUAAUGCACAGAAGAGCAGAGGGAACGCUCAGUCCAUGUGUAUUAGGUCAAUGACGGGCUAAGUUUACUCUAGAGAGACUAUAUAAUAUAUGUAGAUAAAAUAUAUAUGAGAGUGGCCAAACCCGUGCGAUGUUAGCCCCGUAUUUAGUGAAAACAACCGAAUAUUUACACCUGAUAAAAUAUAAGGAUUUAUAGGGAGUUUUAAUUAAUUAAAAUAAUCCUAUUUUGCACUAGUAGGAAUAAAAAAGCGGUUCUAUAUCAAGAGGGGCUAUACCUAAAACACGGCGACUAUUUAUUUAUUAGUUGGCUACUCUCAUAUUUCUGUAUCUAUAAUCUUUCUAGUUUACGCUUAGAAUAGAAUACAUUAAAUAUAUACUUACACACUACGGGCUCGGACAAUGUCGUUAGAGUUUAAUAAUUUUUAGCGGUGAGUUCUCAAUUUUUAACUUUACUAAUUAUAAUUGUACAUUAUAUUUUUCUUAUCAUCUAUAAUAUAUAAAUAAUAUUACAUAGUUUCUAUGUACAUUAUACACGUAAUACAAAAUGCGAAAAUUCGUACGCUGGCCGCUCGGAAGUCCUUCGGAUCAAAAAAAAAUUAAAAACGUUUACGUGGGUAUGGAAAACUAAUAUAAUACUAUAACUAAUUAUUCACCUGUGUGAACAAUUUUCGUUUUUUUUUUUUAUUUAAUUUUAAUUCCCCGAGGCUCGAAAGAACUAUAAUUAUGUAGGUAUAUUUAUCAAUUAUGUAAGUAUAUUAUAAUAAAAACUGUUAGUAUAUUAUUAUUUAUGAUUUUUCGGUUAAAAAAAACUACAGUUUCAAAAAUUAUUAUAUAGAAUAUAUAUAGGAAAUAAUAAAAUCGUAUCAUUUUUUUUUCUUGAGUAACAAUUAUGUUAUUAUCUUAAAAAUAUUCA
rnacentral:lncRNA from 1 species